AUCGAUGAAGAACGCAGCGAAAUGCGAUAAGUAAUGUGAAUUGCAGAAUUCAGUGAAUCAUCGAAUCUUUGAACGCACAUUGCGCCCCUUGGUAUUCCGAGGGGCAUGCCUGUUCGAGCGUCAUUAUGACCAAUCAAGCCUGGCUUGGUGUUGGGGUUCGCGGUCUCGCGGCCCUUAAAAUCAGUGGCGGUGCCGCCUGGCUCUAAGCGUAGUAAUUUUCUCGCUAUUGGGUCCGGCGGUUGCUUGCCAGAAUCUCCAUCUCACGGUUGACCUCGGAUCAGGUAGGGAUACCCGCUGAACUUAAGCAUAUCAAUAAGCGGAGGAAAAGAAACCAACAGGGAUUGCCUCAGUAACGGCGAGUGAAGCGGCAACAGCUCAAAUUUGAAAUCUGGCUCUUUUAGGGUCCGAGUUGUAAUUUGUAGAAGAUGCUUUGGGUGAGGCUCCGGUCUAAGUUCCUUGGAACAGGACGUCAUAGAGGGUGAGAAUCCCGUACGUGACUGGUUGCCUUCGUCCGUGUAAAGCUCUUUCGACGAGUCGAGUUGUUUGGGAAUGCAGCUCAAAAUGGGUGGUAAAUUUCAUCUAAAGCUAAAUAUUGGCCAGAGACCGAUAGCGCACAAGUAGAGUGAUCGAAAGAUGAAAAGCACUUUGGAAAGAGAGUUAAACAGUACGUGAAAUUGUUGAAAGGGAAGCGCUUGCAACCAGACUUGCGCGCUGCUGAUCAUCCGAGGUUUUCCCCGGUGCACUCGGUAGCGCUCAGGCCAGCAUCGGUUUUGGCGGGCGGAUAAAGGCCUUGGGAAUGUAGCUUCUUUCGGGGAGUGUUAUAGCCCUCGGUGCAAUGCGCCCUGUCGGGACCGAGGACCGCGCUUCGGCUAGGAUGCUGGCGUAAUGGUUGUAAGCGACCCGUCUUGAAACACGG
rnacentral:rRNA from 1 species